rnacentral:rRNA from 1 species
UACAGAGGGUGCGAGCGUUAAUCGGAAUUACUGGGCGUAAAGCGCACGUAGGCGGCUUUGUAAGUAAGAGGUGAAAGCCCAGGGCUUAACCCUGGAAUUGCCUUUAAGACUGCAUCGCUAGAAUCGUGGAGAGGUGAGUGGAAUUCCGAGUGUAGAGGUGAAAUUCGUAGAUAUUCGGAAGAACACCAGUGGCGAAGGCGGCUCACUGGACCGGUAUUGACGCUGAGGUGCGAAAGCGUGGGGAGCAAACAGG